AUUGAACGCUGGCGGCAGGCCUAACACAUGCAAGUCGAACGAGUGGCGGACGGGUGAGUAAUGUCGUGGAAACUGCCUGAUGGAGGGGGAUAACUACUGGAACCGGUAGCUAAUACCGCAUACCAUCGGAUGUGCCCAGAUUGGAUUAGCUAGUAGGUGGGGUAAAGGCUCACCUAGGCGACGAUCCCUAGCUGGUCUGAGAGGGUGACCGGCCACACUGGAACUGAGACACGGUCCAGACUCCUACGGGAGGCAGCAGGGGGGAAUAUUGCACAAUGGGCGAAAGCCUGAUGCAGCCAUGCCGCGUGAAUGAAGAAGGCCUUCGGGUUGUAAAGUACUGUUAGCGGGGAGGCGGUACCUGCACAAGAAGCACCGGCUAACUCCGUGCCAGCAGCCGCGGUAAUAC
rnacentral:rRNA from 1 species